GACCAUAAAUCACUUGGAUAACAAAAGUGGCAGACAUUCACAGUAGAACAGAGAAAAUGAAAACUACGCACAAACUAAGCCUGAGAAAGAACCAGCGUGCAAAACAAGACAAACUGUGGGUUCUUUUGAAGACACUGACCUGGA